GUAAAACCAUUUAAAUAAUUAAUGAUUUAAGCUCUAGUAACUAUUUUGACCAGUGUCACAAAUCAUUUGACACUUGACAGCAAUGAACAUUAUGUUUUGACGAGUAUUAUCAAAAAGUUACAAAAUACGUUUUAAUUAAUAUUUUAAUAUUCAACGACGUAGAAAUGUUUAUCAAAGUAUUCGUAUUCGUUUUUGCUUUGCUAGCUGUGAGUAAUGUCGAGGCAGCACACAGUUAUGAUUUUGGUGACUUCUUGGCGACAGUUUUAGGGGUGGGAAUAACUCUUACUGGUAUAUUCGCGUGCUUAGGUAAUUACGCCAGAAAGAAGGCAAGAAACGAGUUUAUAUAGAUUAUUUUCACGUAUCACUUCAAGAUAAUGAGACUACAAUUAUCCUCAAAUUACCACAAAUAUUAAAGAAUUUUUAUCAUGUAGCAAAGAAGUGUAUUUUUAUAUUGCACAAUAUUUUCUUUAAGUACAUCUGUAUAAUGGAAU